UCCCGUAUCGUGUCCGAAUCCCAGAGCUGUUGACAUGAAGACACCACUGGAAACGGAACAUUCAUUCAUUCCUAAAUCUGCUCAAAGUGUGUAAGUGCAAAGAAGAAAGGAAUAAUAAAAUAUAUAUAAGAGAACCCCUGAGAUGCCUAGCUCUCUAAACAGUGAGAGGUGAGGAAGCCCCUCUCGUGUGGGUGCAUCGUAUGGUGCCAUAUGCACACCCAGCACUUCUCAAAUCCGAGAUGUUCUAAUCCACAUCCAUCUCCUUGCCCUCCCAUUCUCCCAUCUCCUCCACCUCCAUCUCCUCCAUGUCGCUGCUGUCAGGGUCGUCCUGGGGCUCCGUCGGAGCCCUGGCUUUUGGGCUAUCUGCUGCUCCAUAGAAAUCCCUGGCAGCAUCUCCCAUUGGCAGCUGCAAUGUGAUAUUCACAGCAAAGUACGAAGCAUGGUUGAAAUCUACAAGCACAGAGCCCCGCGGCUGGGUUAGAGGCCAAGUGCACAGAGGUUUGUGCUGCUCAUGCAGGUGGAGGGAUGAAGGCAAAAACAUCAAACUAGGAACCAAAUUGGACAACCAUUUCACUGUAGACAAAGAUCUCAUGCCCCUCAAUCCCGACCAGCAGCUCCCUGCUAGCCCAACAGCUUUUGGAGUCCAAGCUUUUGGAGUCCCAACGUGGGGUGACGAGGAUGCAAUUUAGCCUUGCCCAGAUCCCUUCUGGAGGUCGAGGAUUGCAGCGACAACUGACGCCCAGCACACACCGGUGAGUUCAUUGGGGGCCUCAGAGGAGACGCAGUUUGAUUGACCCCGGAGGGCACGACGGUGCAACGCACUCACAUGGUGGAGAAGCAGCUGUGGGAGACGGUGAGGAACCGGUUCCUUGGAUAUAGGGGAGGAGCAGCUGCGGGCGAUGUUGGGGAACCGGUCCCUUGGAUAAAGUAUACUAAGGAUUCCCAGCCUCUACCCUUGGACUCACCCAUCCACUCCCUGCAGCCUGGUGAUUCAGUGCUCGUACGUACCUGGAAAGACGAGCCCCUCCAGAAAAAGUGGAAGGGACCCUAUACCGUCCUGCUGGUCUCCCACACGGCAGCAAAGGCCGAGGGACACAAGAAUUAGAUUCAUUAUACCCAGCUGAAAGAAGUGUCAACCCCCCCCCCCCCCUGCUAAAAGGUAGACCGUGCAUUCAGCCCCCUCCAGUGAAGAUCUUAGACUAAAAUUACUAUUUAAACAGCAGCCCACCAAAAAAGCAAAAAAAUAAAUAAAAAAGUAUAUUUUAUUCCCCCUCUUAGCCAUGUGCCUAACCGGUACUGCUGUUUCAAGCAUUGUACCCGUAAAUACCUGGCUGGCACUGGCCCAGAGUGCAGUGAACGCAACGUCGUUCUCAGAGAACCUUAUUCUCAGAGACUAAGGCAGCAGCUCUGGCCUUUUCUUUAGUUAGUAUCCCUGGGCUUGUGGUGCAUAAUUACCACGCAGUAGAGCACCUUGCCUGCACAGUGGCAAAGGCCAUUAAUUUAACCUCAGCCGUCCUGGCCCAACUCUCACAUGAGUUCGGGGAAGUACGUCAGGGUGUGCUACAGAACAGGCUGGCUGUAGACUAUUUACUUCUACGCCAUGGUCACCUAUGCCAGGAGUUUGCAAGCAUGUGUUGCUUUAAUAUAGCAGAUGCAGAGACAUCCGUAAAAGCUGAUUUCCAACGCCUAAAGCAGCUAGCAAAGAGCAUUCAUCAGCAAACCAGAGAAAAUUAGCUAAGCUCUCUAUUUUCUAGUUGAAGCCUUUCCCCGUAGCUAAAUAAGUUCUUUAGCCUAUUAUUUAAGUUUUUUUUCCUGUAUGAAUCAUGUUAUAUUUACUAUGUUAUAUAUAGUCCUGGUAAAAAUGCUUAUUUUGCAUAGUUUUAAAAAUCUUAAUUUUAUGCAUAGCCCGCUAGUAAGUAAAUAAAAAUAAAAAACCUCAAGCAAUAAAAAUAAAUAUUCUCAAAAAAAAAAA